rnacentral:tRNA from 1 species
GCCAGAGUAGUCUAACUAGGUAUGACGCCUAGCUGAAGACUAGGUGACAUUCACCCGAAUGUCUUGCGGGUUCAAAUCCCGCCUCUGGCGCCA